rnacentral:rRNA from 1 species
UACGUGAGGGGCGAACGUUGUUCGGUGUCACUGGGCUUAAAGGGCGCGUAGGUGGCUGCGUAAGUAAGGUGUGAAAGCCCUCGGCUUACCCGGGGAAUUGCGCCUUAUACUGCGUGGCUUGAGGAUCUCAGGGGAAGGGGGAACUCCAGGUGUAGCGGUGAAGUGCGCAGAUAUCUGGGGGAAUACCGGUGGCGAAGGCGGCAUCCUGGACCGGCAUUGACGCUGAGGAGCGAAAGCCAGGGGAGCAAACGGG